AUUGAACGCUGGCGGCAUGCUUUACACAUGCAAGUCGAACGGCAGCGCGGGCUUCGGCCUGGCGGCGAGUGGCGAACGGGUGAGUAAUGCAUCGGAACGUGCCCAGUAGUGGGGGAUAGCCCGGCGAAAGCCGGAUUAAUACCGCAUACGACCUGAGGGUGAAAGCGGGGGACCGAAAGGCCUCGCGCUAUUGGAGCGGCCGAGGUCGGAUUGGCUAGCUGGUGGGGUAAAGGCUUACCAAGGCGACGAUCCGUAGCUGGUCUGAGAGGACGACCAGCCACACGGGGGCUGGGACACGGCCCAGGCUCCUACGAGAGGCAGCAGUGGGGAAUUUUGGACAAUGGGGGCAACCCUGAUCCAGCCAUGCCGCGUGCGGGAAGAAGGCCUUCGGGUUGUAAACCGCUUUUGUUCGGGAAGAAAUCCUCUGGGCUAAUACCCCGGGGGGAUGACGGUACCGGAAGAAUAAGCACCGGCUAACUACGUG
rnacentral:rRNA from 1 species